rnacentral:rRNA from 1 species
CCUACGGGCGGCAGCAGUGAGGAAUAUUGGUCAAUGGGCGCGAGCCUGAACCAGCCAAUUCUCGUGCAGGAUGACGGCCCUACGGAUUGUAAACUGCUUUUGUCGGGGAACAAAAGGCGCUACGUGUGGCGUUCCGCGAGUACCCGAUGAAAAAGCAUCGGCUAACUCCGUGCCAGCAGCCGCGGUAAUACGGAGGAUGCGGGCGUUAUCCGGAUUUAUUGGGUUUAAGGGGUGCGCAGGCGGAAGAUCAAGCCAGCGGGAAAAUUGCGGGGCUAAACCUCGUCGUGCAGUUGCAACUGGGUUGCUUGAGUGAGUGAGAAGCAGGCGGAAUGCGUGGUGUAGCGGUGAAAUGCAUAGAUAUCACGAAGAACUCCGAUGGCGAAGGCAGCAUACCGGCGCUCAACUGACGCUGAUGCACGAAAGUGUGGGUAUCGAACAGGAUUAGAUACCCUUGUAGUC